rnacentral:rRNA from 1 species
UACGUAGGGGGCAAGCGUUGUCCGGAAUCAUUGGGCGUAAAGAGCGCGUAGGCGGUCCGGUAAGUCCGCUCUGAAAGUCCGGGGCUCAACCCCGGGAGGCGGGCGGAUACUGUCGGGCUCGAGUCCGGAAGAGGCGAGUGGAAUUCCUGGUGUAGCGGUGAAAUGCGCAGAUAUCAGGAGGAACACCAAUGGCGAAGGCAGCUCGCUGGGACGUGACUGACGCUGAGACGCGAAAGCGUGGGGAGCAAACAGG